rnacentral:rRNA from 1 species
UUUUUGGAGAGUUUGAUCUUGGCUCAGGACGAACGCUGGCGGCGUGCCUAAUACAUGCAAGUCGAGCGCUGGAAGCUAAUUUCAUCCCUUCGGGAUGAAAUUAGUGGAAAGAGCGGCGGACGGGUGAGUAACACGUGGGCAACCUACCUAUAAGACUGGGAUAACUCGCGGAAACGUGAGCUAAUACCGGAUAAUACUUUUUAUUGCAUAAUAAGGAG